UUGAACGCUGGCGGCAGGCCUAACACAUGCAAGUCGAACGGUAACAGGGAUCAGCUUGCUGAUUCGCUGACGAGUGGCGGCCGGGUGAGUAAUGUCUGGGAAACUGCCUGAUGGAGGGGGAUAACUACUGGAAUCGGUAGCUAAUACCGCAUAACGUCGCAAGACCCAAGAGGGGGACCUUCGGGCCUCUUGCCAUCGGAUGUGCCCAGAUGGGAUUAGCUAGUAGGUGGGGUAACGGCUCACCUAGGCGACGAUCCCUAGCUGGUCUGAGAGGAUGACCAGCCACACUGGAACUGAGACACGGUCCAGACUCCUACGGGAGGCAGCAGUGGGGAAUAUUGCACAAUGGGCGCAAGCCUGAUGCAGCCAUGCCGCGUGUAUGAAGAAGGCCUUCGGGUUGUAAAGUACUUUCAGCGGGGAGGAAGGGAGUAAAGUUAAUACCUUUGCUCAUUGACGUUACCCGCAGAAGAAGCACCGGCUAACUCCGUG
rnacentral:rRNA from 1 species